GGUUCUACUGAGUAUAUAGAGCACUAGAUAGGGUCUACUGAGCAUAUAGUGCACUAGAUAGGGUCUACUGAGCAUAUAGUUCAGUAGAUAGGGUCUACUGAGCAUAUAGAGCACUAGAUAGGGUCUACUGAGCAUAUAGAGCACUAGAUAGGGUCUACUGAGCAUAUAGUGCACUAGAUCGGGUCUACUGAGCAUAUAGAGCACUAGAUAGGGUCUACUGAGUGUAUAGUGCACUAGAUAGGGUAUUUGGGCAUAUAGUGCACUAGAUCGGGUCUACUGAGUAUAUAGUGCACUAGAUCGGGUAUUUGGGCAUAUAGUGCACUAGUUAGGGUCUACUGAGCAUAUAGAGCACUAGAUAGGGUAUUUGGGCAUAUAGUGCACUAGAUAGGGUAUUUGGGCAUAUAGUGCACUAGAUAGGGUAUUUGGGCAUAUAGUGCACUAGUUAGGGUCUACUGAGCAUAUAGAGCACUAGUUAGGGUAUUUGGGCAUAUAGUGCACUAGUUAGGGUCUACUGAGCAUAUAGUGCACUAGUUAGGGUCUACUGAGUAUAUAGAGCACUAGAUAGGGUAUUUGGGCAUAUAGUGCACUAGAUCGGGUAUUUGGGCAUAUAGUGCACUAGUUAGGGUCUACUGAGCAUAUAGUGCACUAGAUAGGGUAUUUGGGCAUAUAGUGCACUAGUUAGGGUCUACUGAGCAUAUAGAGCACUAGAUAGGGUAUUUGGGCAUAUAGUGCACUAGAUAGGGUAUUUGGGCAUAUAGUGCACUAGAUAGGGUAUUUGGGCAUAUAGUGCACUAUUUAGGGUCUACUGAGCAUAUAGUGCACUAGAUAGGGUAUUUGGGCAUAUAGUGCACUAGUUAGGGUCUACUGAGCAUAUAGUGCACUAGAUCGGGUAUUUGGGCAUAUAGUGCACUAGUUAGGGUCUACUGAGCAUAUAGUGCACUAGUUAGGGUCUGUUAUAAUCCUCAGGUUAAUAGCUCAUUUUAUCUGAGCUCAGAAUUUGGAGUGAAAGUGCUUUACAUAGGAAAGGCACAGUAAAAUAUUAGUGAUGCAGUAAUCUAUAAUCACUAAAGGCCUUACCUGUGUAUCGGCUGAUCAGGUGUGUGUUGAACCUGUAUAUAAAAUCGACCCGAGUGUGUUGUGGUGUAAUUGUUCUCCG
ensembl:lncRNA